UCGGACAUUCUCGACUGCGCUCCCAAUCCCGCUACCUCUCCCCAACCCCCCCCCUACCCCGCGUGCGUUUAAUAAAAUGGGUGGUUGGUAAGAGGGGGAGGAGUAAAAGUAACUCCACUGGGAGAAAAAUAUCCUUUUUUUCUGGAAUUUCGGGACGACAAUGCAGAUUAUUUCUUGUGUGUUUAUUUAGGGGACGUCAUCUAUAAUAAUUUAUGUAUAUUUCCGCGAGAUUUUUCAACCGUUGACAGGGAUAUGCGUAGAUGGCUUGCAUUCCACUCGUGGGCGCGCCCCCAGGUCCAGGUGGCAUUCAUUUGAAGGUAAAUAAAUCUAGGUGCCGAGUUAGGCAUGUGUGAAGACGGGAGGGUUGGGUGGGAUCUGUUGAGUUUGUGACGGCGUAGCUUUGACCAUUUGACCAUGAAAAAUGGGCAUUGACUAUGGUAGCGUAAGGGUUUUGACUUGACCUAGAGUUAACGACCAGUUGCGGUUUGAUCUGGACACGGUCAAUAUCAACGCCGUAGAAUCCGUUAUUCUCGACCCUCUCCGGCGGGGGAUUUCAACCGUUCCCAUUCAAUUUGGGACGUUGACUCGAUCGACAGUUGCUGAUCUCCACCAUCACCGUCAAAUCUCCGUUUGGCGGCCGCCGCUCUUAGCCACAGCUGGAACAAUUAACGGACAAUAAAAAAUUGUAUGGUCGGGAAAUUUCUCGAGAUUUGUCAAGAUAUUAUUUUUACCCGAUAUCGUGGCAAGAUUUUACAUACUUAAAAAAAAUGGGUGUAUUUAUUUUGAGACGGUUUGACCCCAAGUCCGAGUUCUAGCUUUGGGCUUGAAAAAUUAUUGAUCGGCAUGGAGUGAAGUAAGCUGGGCUCUUCCGAAAUAAUUUCCUCGAUAAUUCUCUCAAGUGGGUACCCUUUCUCGGCCUUCCGCCUUCAUUGUUGACAAAUGACCACCACCUCGAUUCCUUUCAUCCCUCCACCGUCUGAGAUCUGCAAUAAUUUGCUAGAAGCCACGCCGGCGGCCCUAAGCGCCCCCCAC
rnacentral:lncRNA from 1 species